rnacentral:rRNA from 1 species
AACGAACGCUGGCGGCAUGCCUAACACAUGCAAGUCGAACGAGAUCUUCGGGUCUAGUGGCGCACGGGUGCGUAACGCGUGGGAAUCUGCCCUUUGGUUCGGAAUAACAGUUGGAAACGACUGCUAAUACCGGAUGAUGCCGAAUGUGCCCUUCGGGGGAAAGAUUUAUCGCCUUUAGAGCGGCCCGCGUCUGAUUAGCUAGUUGGUGAGGUAACGGCUCACCAAGGCGACGAUCAGUAGCUGGUCUGAGAGGAUGACCAGCCACACUGGGACUGAGACACGGCCCAGACUCCUACGGGAGGCAGCAGUGGGGAAUCUUGCGCAAUGGGCGAAAGCCUGACGCAGCCAUGCCGCGUGAAUGAUGAAGGUCUUAGGAUUGUAAAAUUCUUUCACCGGGGACGAUAAUGACGGUACCCGGAGAAGAAGCCCCGGCUAACUUCGUGCCAGCCGCCGCCGUAA